AAUAUAUUUCAGAGAGGGGAAAAGAGAGAAGAGAAAAAAAAGAAGAGAAGAAAGGAAACUUCUCUUCAUUUUUCUUUCUUUCUUUGUCUUCUCAUCUCUCCUUUUUAUUUUAUUUUAUUUUUUUCUUUUUCUUUUAAACAAGAGAACACGAAUAAUCAAAAGGGGAAGGAUUUGAAACAUAGAAAUAUCCAACUUGGCAAGGUUUCACAAUUGAAAAUUGGAAUCUUCUGACGGCUAAAGAGGCUGGGAAAAUCAAUGUAUCACCUCCUGAUGCUUUAAUGGCAAAUGGUCCCAGAGAGUUAAUAACUCUAUCAAUAGAAGUUGCAAUGGGGAAAUUCAUAUCUUGAGUCUCAUCAAUGAAACCGAAAAUAACAGAAUCCUUUGGACAAGUUUC
rnacentral:RNase_P_RNA from 13 species